rnacentral:rRNA from 1 species
AUGAACGCUAGCGGCAGGGCCUAACACAUGCAAGUCGAGGGGCAGCAGGAGGUAGCAAUACCUUGCUGGCGACCGGCGCACGGGUGCGUAACGCGUAUGCAACCUACCUUUAAGAGGGGGAUAACCCAGAGAAAUCCGGACUAAUACCCCGUAUAGUAGCGGGACCGCAUGAUCUUGCUACGAAAGCUACGGUGCUUAAAGAUGGGCAUGCGUGACAUUAGCUAGUUGGUAAGGUAACGGCUUACCAAGGCGACGAUGUCUAGGGGAGCUGAGAGGCUAAUCCCCACACUGGUACUGAGACACGGACCAGACUCCUACGGGAGGCAGCAGUGAGGAAUAUUGGUCAAUGGACGGAAGUCUGAACCAGCCAUGCCGCGUGAAGGACAGAAGGCCCUAGAGGUUGUAAACUUCUUUUGUGCGGGAGUAAUAAGGACUUUGCGAAGUCCGAUGAGAGUACCGUACGAAUAAGCAUCGGCUAACUCCGUGCC